AUUGAACGCUGGCGGCAGGCCUAACACAUGCAAGUCGAACGAGUGGCGGACGGGUGAGUAAUGUCUGGGAAACUGCCCGAUGGAGGGGGAUAACUACUGGAAACGGUAGCUAAUACCGCAUACCAUCGGAUGUUCCCAGAUGGGAUUAGCUAGUAGGUGGGGUAACGGCUCACCUAGGCGCCGAUCCCUAGCUGGUCUGAGAGGAGGACCAGCCACACUGGAACUGAGACACGGUCCAGACUCUUACGGGAGGGAGCUGUGGGGAAUAUUGCACAAUGGGCGAAAGCCUGAUGCAGCCAUGCCGAGUGUAUGAAGAAGGCCUUCGGGUUGUAAAGUACUUUCAGCGAGGAGGCGUUACUCGCAGAAGAAGCACAGGCUAACUCCGUGCCAGCAGCCGCGGUAAUAC
rnacentral:rRNA from 1 species